rnacentral:lncRNA from 1 species
CAUUUUUAAAUUGAAGAUAAUUAUAACAAUACAUGUAAUUGUAAUUAUUUGAUUAAAGAAUGCAAAAUAUUAUAAAACAAUAAGGCAAAUCUUUACCUUUUGUGAAAAAAAGGGGGAUGUUUUUAUUAUUUUUCACCGAAUCAACAAAUUCGUGCAAAAAAUAAAGGAACAGGGUUUAUGGCCGUUUGAUCUGCCAAAGGAGACAAC